AUUGACCGCUGGCGGCAGGCCUAACACAUGCAAGUCGAACGAGUGGCGGAAGGGUGAGUAAUGUCUGGGAAACUGCCCGAUGGAGGGGGAUAACUACUGGAAACGGUAGCUAAUACCGCAUACCAUCGGAUGUGCCCAGAUGGGAUUAGCUAGUAGGUGGGGUAAAGGCUCACCUAGGCGACGAUCCCUAGCUGGUCUGAGGGGAUGACCAGCCAAACUGGAACUUAGAAAGGGUCCAGACUCCACGGGGAGGCAGCAGUGGGGAAUAUUGCACAAUGGGCGAAAGCCUGAUGCAGCAAUGCCGCGUGUAUGAAGAAGGCCUUGGGGUUGUAAAGUACUUUCAGCGAGGAGGCGGUACUCGCAGAAGAAGCACCGGCUAACUCCGUGCCAGCCGCCGCGGUAAUU
rnacentral:rRNA from 1 species